rfam:Rachicladosporium sp. CCFEE 5018 unplaced genomic scaffold Supercontig_30, whole genome shotgun sequence.
UCCCCGCCCAACAAUUCGCAGUCGAAGCUCACAUACAGACAGUCACUUGGCAGUCAUCAACACACAGCUUUGGGAGAAAGUCCCCGGACGCUUCAAUAGCAAAUGCUGAAAAGCGCCGCCACAGAAGCACAUGCGGCUCACCUCGGCCGACCUCCAUCCCUCAUCACACCCUGCUUUGUCGUCUGCACUCUUGCUUCGAGGCUUGUCAGCUCGGAUCUACCAUGCCCUGAGACCGGUGCUUCGGUGCUGCCCUUCACGAGGAGACGAUGAUAUGAGUCUGCGCUCCUGGCGUGCUGAUCUCGCUGCCGGCCUGCUGACAUCCACGAGGAGACAUGACAGGUACUGUGGUGAGCAAGUUGGACCCAAGCUGGCGCAGAGGGCCAUUCGUCAAGAUCGAUAGUUAUGCGAAUGCCUGACCGACCUCUCCGAACGCGCUUCACUCGACUUGCAAACGGAGAUAAAUUCAGGUUACUCGAUGGGGCUUAUUCUUGAUGCGAGG